UCAUUGAGUCAUUGAGAGAUGAGACAAAACUCAAAAGCCCCAAAACAAGGAAAUUAGGGUUUUGUUUCCUUCGCUUCAACUUCCCCUUCUUCCUCUGUUACUCUGUCUUCUUCCUCAACCCUCAACUUUCCCACCCUCCUCAGCGGCUCCGCCGCACUCAACUCUUCAUCAGUCCUCCUCCCUCUCUCACGGAUCUCCGGUCACGGCUCACGGCUCUCACCCUCAGUCCUCCUCUCCUCACUCUCGCAACUCGCAACUCGCAAGGCUUCACUCCAAGCUUGGAUGGUGGAAGCUCUUAUUUGUGGGCAAGAUUGGAUGCGUACCUCUCAUACUUGUAUUACUAUUGAGGAGAGUUUGCUAGAGUUGGAGAAAAUGGAAGAAGGUAUGCAAGAAUUGGUUUCGGAACAACCAACUAUUAUAAUUGACGAAACGAUUGAAGAAGCUUCGGAUAUCACAAAUUUCACAAUGGACGACAUACUUGAAUGAGUUUUGUUGAUUAAUGACUUUGUAAACUUUUGGGAUUUCUGCCUGUGUGCAGUGUAGUGUAGUAAACUUCUGUGAACUUUAGUUUUUGUUAAGUGUUGUGCUUGCUUGUCUGCUUGUGCAUGUGUGGCUGUGUGCACAAUUGCACACUAUCUUAGUAUAUGUUACUGCCUACUGCUGCCUGCUGUGUGUGCUACUGGCCUACUGCCUACUGCAGUACUUCUGCUUGAUGCUGGUCAAUCUACUGUGUUUGUAAUGCUGCUGGGCCUGCUGGCUGUAAAUCUGUAAUGUUGCAUUGCUGCAAUGCUGCCUGCUGUAAGUCUGUAACUACUGCUGCAGUGCUGCCUGAGUGCUUGCUAGUCUGCUUAAUGCAGAUGCACUAAAUGUACAAGCCUACAGGGUGGAUCAUCUUUGGCUCUUUGCUCAUUUGCUGUAGAUUUGUAGUGCUGAUUGCUGACUGCAUUUAUAUGAAUUGUUGCUAUGAAUUUUUAUUUUUAAUUAUUUUGGAUUUUA